rnacentral:tRNA from 1 species
GGAGAUAGCUCAGUGGUAGAGCAUGUGCUUAGCAUGCAUGAGGUCCUGGUUCAAUACCCAGUGCCUCCA